GCAGGUUUUAGCAGCUAGUCUUAGCGAUAUAGCAAACGUUUGAAGAUGUGUGUGUUUUUUUCUGUUAGCCGUGUGCUGUGUCUACUGACGGUGACCAUGGUCAUCCUCUCCUGUACAUUGGAAGUGCGUUCCCAGGGAAUGAGGCCUCUAAAUUGCUGUCUGAAGACAUCCUAUAAACGUCCAGCAGAACCAAUCACACAGUGUCUUAUUCAGACACCUAAUGGGAAAUGUAACCUCAAUGCAUACAUUUUCACCAGUGGGGAGCAGUGGAAGUGCAUCAACCUAAAUGCCAGAUGGCUCACUGCUGAUCUAGCAUCACUGAAACAGAGAGGAAUACAGUGUGGCCAACUCAUAACCAUCAGACCAUGAUCCUAGACCAUCAGCAGCAGCAGCAGGUUCAGCAGCCUCUCUCAACCAGGAACUACAAAACUAAGAUAAUAAGAAGAUAGUGAAGAUGAAGAUGAUGAUUUAAGAGUAUUUCAAGCUCUCUUUAUCAGAUUAUUUAUUUAUUUAUUCAUUUCAACCUCAUCCAGGCAUUAAUUUAUUGUACUCAAUUCAUUAAGGUGUUUUAAAGGCAUUUUUAUUUUUUUAUUUCCUCUGUCCUUUUUUUAAUGCUGUGAUAAUAACAUAACUUUGUUUGUAUAAAACCUUUCAUUCUCAAAGUGCUUUAUAAUUAUACAAAAUCAGAGAAUGGGAGACCUAUCUGAGUAUCUCCAUAAUAACUAGAUCCUGUAAUGGCUGCAUAAAGGUUAAAGGUUGUGACACUCCAUCGUCUCACUGAGCUGUGGUCGUGGUGAUGACACUGCCCAUCUGUUCUACCAAGGAAGCCAUUCCCUCAGCCCCUGGCCCUAUCCUCUUCCACUAGCCACUACUCCUUGUCCUUAACCACUACUGCUAGCUACCCCCUAAACUCACAGCUGUAGUUGUUUCAGUGAACCUGUAUUUAUUUGGCCAACAGAUAAACAAAUAAAGUUAUAUUGACCAAAAUUGUCAUAAUCAUAAUUGCAUAUUCUGAACUAUUCUUCCCAUGUCAGUCAGUCAGUCAGACAGACAUAUGACCUAGUCUUCCUCUGGCCCCUCUCCUUUCCUCUCAGUGUGACUGUGACACGGCUAACAUGGAAAGUACUGGAAUGAGUAAUAAAAGCAUGACAACCGGACACUCACUGUGUGUGUUUGUGUGUGUUAGACAUUGUAUCCUUCCUCUUUCCCAGGGUGAAAGAGAGCCAGCAGGAAGGAAGCCAGGAUUAUUCUCAUCCUGACC